GAUGAAGUUGAUUUUCUUUAAGUGGCUCUUUAAACUUCAAUAGGCAAAGCAUUUGUUUUUCUAGUGUUUGGAUUCACGAUCUACUAAGUUGGCUCAAAUAGGCAAGGAAGAAAAUUGUUUGAAGUCAUUCAAAAGGAUAUUGUUAGUACACUUAGAAUUCAUGUGCCUGCUAUGGAUGACCUUGUUGGGUUUCAAAUCUAAAAAUCAUUAGGUUGCCUAUGAAGUGGGUAUAGUAUGUGUCGUUAGAUGUAUCGAUCAUUGGCCUUUAUUUAGCACUUUGUUGGGAUUCUUGAUUUCAAUAAUAAUCUAUGUCUAUGAUGUGCCAAUCGGAUUUGCUAAUUUCUUAAAGAAC
rnacentral:lncRNA from 1 species